rnacentral:precursor_RNA from 8 species
GUUGGAGCAAGAAGAUUUCAGGCUGUGACCCUCUUGAGGGAAGCACUUUCUGUUGUCUGAAUAAAAAGAAAGUGCUUCCUUUUAGAGGCUUACGGUCUGAGAAAAGCAACGGUGAAGUU